GAUGAAGAACGCAGCGAAAUGCGAUAAGUAAUGUGAAUUGCAGAAUUCAGUGAAUCAUCGAAUCUUUGAACGCACAUUGCGCCCGUCAGUAUUCUGGCGGGCAUGCCUGUUCGAGCGUCAUUACGCCCCUCAAGUCCCCUGUGGACUUGGUGUUGGGGAUCGGCGAGGCUGGUUUUCCAGCACAGCCGUCCCUUAAAUUAAUUGGCGGUCUCGCCGUGGCCCUCCUCUGCGCAGUAGUAAAACACUCGCAACAGGAGCCCGGCGCGGUCCACUGCCGUAAAACCCCCCAACUUUUUAUAGUUGACCUCGAAUCAGGUAGGACUACCCGCUGAACUUAAGUAUAUCAAUAAGCGGAGGA
rnacentral:misc_RNA from 1 species